GACGAACCGAGCGACCGUUAUUCGGAAUCACUGGGCUUAAAGGGCUCGUAGGUGGCCAACUAAGUCAGACGUGAAAUCCCUCGGCUUAACCGGGGAACUGCGUCUGAUACUGGAUGGCUUGAGUUCGGGAGAGGGAUGCGGAAUUCCAGGUGUAGCGGUGAAAUGCGUAGAUAUCUGGAGGAACACCGGUGGCGAAGGCGGCAUCCUGGACCGACACUGACGCUGAGGAGCGAAAGCCAGGGGAGCAAACAGG
rnacentral:rRNA from 1 species